AUGGCAAUCCAAACCUAUUUUGUCGGUUCACAUCUGCCAAUUGCAUGAUCUCCCUCCCAUAUUCUGUCUAAUCCUAUUUUGCCGCCUCAUGAUCUCCCUCCCAUAAUAUUUCUAUUAUUCCAAUUGUCGGUUCACAUCCCUCAAUUGUCGGUUCACAUCCCCCAAUUGCCUGAUCUCCCUCCCAUUGCAUGCUAUUCCUAUUUUGUCGCCUCAUGAUCUCCCUCCCAAUUGCAUGCUAAUCCCAAUUGCUCAUGACUUCCCCCC
rnacentral:lncRNA from 1 species